UACGAAGGGGGCUAGCGUUGUUCGGAAUCACUGGGCGUAAAGCGCACGUAGGCGGAUCUUUAAGUCAGGGGUGAAAUCCCUGAGCUCAACUCCGAACUGCCUUUGAUACUGGGAGUAUCUAGUUCGGGAGAGGUGAGUGGAACUGCGAGUGUAGAGGUGAAAUUCGUAGAUAUUCGCAAGAACACCAGUGGCGAAGGCGGCUCACUGGCCCGAUACUGACGCUGAGGCACGAAAGCGUGGGAGCAACAGGG
rnacentral:rRNA from 1 species